CGGGGGGAGCAAGCGUUGUUCGGAUUUACUGGGCGUAAAGGGCGCGUAGGCGGCCACCGCAAGUCGACUGUGAAAUCUCCGGGCUUAACCCGGAAAGGUCCGCCGAUACUGCGGGGCUAGAGUGCAGAAGGGGCAACUGGAAUUCUCGGUGUAGCGGUGAAAUGCGUAGAUAUCGAGAGGAACACCUGCGGCGAAGGCGGGUUGCUGGGCUGACACUGACGCUGAGGCGCGAAAGCUAGGGGAGCGAACGGGAUUAGAUACCCCGGUAGUCCUAGCCUUAAACGAUGAAUGCUUGGUGUCUGGGGUUUUAUAGUCCCCGGGUGCCGUCGCUAACGCUUUAAGCAUUCCGCCUGGGGAGUACGGUCGCAAGACUG
rnacentral:rRNA from 1 species